rnacentral:rRNA from 1 species
AGUGGCGAACGGGUGAGUAACACGUGAGGAACCUGCCCCGAAGACCGGGACAACACCGGGAAACCGGUGCUAAUACCGGAUGCCUUCACCGGAUCGCAUGGUCUGGUGAAGAAAUGGAUUCCGCUUCGGGAUGGCCUCGCGGCCUAUCAGCUAGUUGGUGAGGUAACGGCUCACCAAGGCGACGACGGGUAGCUGGUCUGAGAGGAUGUCCAGCCACACUGGGACUGAGACACGGCCCAGACUCCUACGGGAGGCAGCAGUUAGGAAUCUUGCGCAAUGGACGAAAGUCUGACGCAGCGACGCCGCGUGCGGGAUGAAGGCCCUCGGGUUGUAAACCGCUUUCAGCAGGGACGAAAUUGACGGUACCUGCAGAAGAAGCCCCGGCCAACUACGUGCAGCAGCCGCGGUAAUACGUAGGGGGCAAGCGUUGUCCGGAUUUAUUGGGCGUAAAGAGCUCGUAGGUGGUUCGGUAAGUCGGAUGUGAAAUCUCCAGGCUCAACCUGGAGGGGUCAUGCGAUACUGCCGUGACUAGAGGUCGGUAGGGGAGUGUGGAAUUCCUGGUGGAGCGGUGAAAUGCGCAGAUAUCAGGAGGAACACCCGUAGCGAAGGCGGCACUCUGGGCCGAUUCUGACACUGAGGAGCGAAAGCGUGGGGAGCGAACAGGAUUAGAUACCCUGUUAGUCCACGCCGU